CCUACGGGAGGCAGCAGUGGGGAAUAUUGCACAAUGGGCGCAAGCCUGAUGCAGCAACGCCGCGUGAGGGACGACGGCCUUCGGGUUGUAAACCUCUUUUAGUAGGGAAGAAGCGAAAGUGACGGUACCUGCAGAAAAAGCACCGGCUAACUACGUGCCAGCAGCCGCGGUAAUACGUAGGGUGCAAGCGUUAUCCGGAAUUAUUGGGCGUAAAGAGCUCGUAGGCGGUUUGUCGCGUCUGCUGUGAAAACUGGAGGCUCAACCUCCAGCCUGCAGUGGGUACGGGCAGACUAGAGUGCGGUAGGGGAGAUUGGAAUUCCUGGUGUAGCGGUGGAAUGCGCAGAUAUCAGGAGGAACACCGAUGGCGAAGGCAGAUCUCUGGGCCGUAACUGACGCUGAGGAGCGAAAGCAUGGGGAGCGAACAGGAUUAGAUACCCUGGUAGUCCAUGCCGUAAACGUUGGGAACUAGAUGUAGGGUCCAUUCCACGGAUUCUGUGUCGCAGCUAACGCAUUAAGUUCCCCGCCUGGGGAGUACGGCCGCAAGGCUAAAACUCAAAGGAAUUGACGGGGGCCCGCACAAGCGGCGGAGCAUGCGGAUUAAUUCGAUGCAACGCGAAGAACCUUACCAAGGCUUGACAUAUACCGGAAACGGCUGGAAACAGUCGCCCCGCAAGGUCGGUAUACAGGUGGUGCAUGGUUGUCGUCAGCUCGUGUCGUGAGAUGUUGGGUUAAGUCCCGCAACGAGCGCAACCCUCGUUCUUUGUUGCCAGCACGUAAUGGUGGGAACUCAAAGGAGACUGCCGGGGUCAACUCGGAGGAAGGUGGGGAUGACGUCAAAUCAUCAUGCCCCUUAUGUCUUGGGCUUCACGCAUGCUACAAUGGCCGGUACAAAGGGCUGCAAUACCGUAAGGUGGAGCGAAUCCCAAAAAGCCGGUCUCAGUUCGGAUUGAGGUCUGCAACUCGACCUCAUGAAGUCGGAGUCGCUAGUAAUCGCAGAUCAGCAACGCUGCGGUGAAUACGUUCCCGGGCCUUGUACACACCGCCCGUCAAGUCAUGAAAGUCGGUAACACCCGAAGCCAGUGGCCCAACCGCAAGGAGGGAGCUGUCGAAGGUGGGAUUGGUAAUUAGGACUAAGUCGUAACAAGGUAACC
rnacentral:rRNA from 1 species